rnacentral:rRNA from 1 species
UUUUACCUACGGGAGGCAGCAGUGAGGAAUAUUGGUCAAUGGGCGGGAGCCUGAACCAGCCAAGUCGCGUGAAGGAAGAAGGUACUUAGUACUGUAAACUUCUUUUGUCAAGGGACAAAAUCAGGCUCGAGAGCCUGACCGAGGGUACUUGAAGAAAAAGCAUCGACUAACUCCGUGCCAGCAGCCGCGGUAAUACGGAGGAUGCGAGCGUUAUCCGGAUUUAUUGGGUUUAAAGGGUGCGUAGGCGGACUGUUAAGUCAGCGGUAAAAGCCCGGGGCUCAACCCCGGCGAG